GAAACUUAAAGGAAUUGGCGGGGGAGCACUACAACGGGUGGAGCCUGCGGUUUAAUUGGACUCAACGCCGGAAAACUCACCUGGGGCGACAGCAAUAUGUAGGUCAGGCUGAAGGUCUUACCUGAAUCGCUGAGAGGAGGUGCAUGGCCGUCGUCAGUUCGUACUGUGAAGCAUCCUGUUAAGUCAGGCAACGAGCGAGACCCGUGCCCACUGUUGCCAGCAUAUCCUUCGGGAUGAUGGGUACUCUGUGGGGACCGCUGGUGCUAAACCAGAGGAAGGUGCGGGCUACGGUAGGUCAGUAUGCCCCGAAUCUCCAGGGCUACACGCGGGCUACAAUGACCGGGACAAUGGGCUCCUACCCCGAAAGGGGUUGGUAAUCUCAUAAACCCGGCCUUAGUUCGAAUUGAGGGCUGCAACUCGCCCUCAUGAAGCUGGAAUCCGUAGUAAUCGCGUUUCAAUAUAGCGCGGUGAAUACGUCCCUGCUCCUUGCACACACCGCCCGUCAAACCACCCGAGUGAGGUAUGGGUGAGGGCACGGACCUAGUGCCGUGUUCGAACCUAAAUUUCGCAAGGGGGGUUAAGUCGUAACAA
rnacentral:rRNA from 1 species